rnacentral:rRNA from 1 species
AUUGAACGCUGGCGGAAUGCUUUACACAUGCAAGUCGAGCGGCAGCACGGGGGCAACCCUGGUGGCGAGCGGCGAACGGGUGAGUAAUACAUCGGAACAUGCCCAGUCGUGGGGGAUAACACUUCGAAAGAAGUGCUAAUACCGCAUACGUCCUGAGGGGGAAAGCGGGGGAUCGCAAGACCUCGCGCGAUUGGAGUGGCCGAUGUCAGAUUAGCUAGUUGGUGGGGUAAAGGCCUACCAAGGCAACGAUCUGUAGCUGGUCUGAGAGGAUGAUCAGCCACACUGGGACUGAGACACGGCCCAGACUCCUACGGGAGGCAGCAGUGGGGAAUUUUGGACAAUGGGGGCAACCCUGAUCCAGCCAUUCCGCGUGAGUGAAGAAGGCCUUCGGGUUGUAAAGCUCUUUCGGCAGGAACGAAACGGUGAGCUCUAACAUAGCUUGCUAAUGACGGUACCUGAAGAAGAAGCACCGGCUAACUACG